CAGUCGCCACGGUAAUACGUAGGUGGCAAGCGUUGUCCGGAAUUAUUGGGCGUAAAGGGCUCGCAGGCGGUUUCUUAAGUCUGAUGUGAAAGCCCCCGGCUCAACCGGGGAGGGUCAUUGGAAACUGGGAAACUUGAGUGCAGAAGAGGAGAGUGGAAUUCCACGUGCAGCGGUGAAAUGCGUAGAGAUGUGGAGGAACACCAGUGGCGAAGGCGACUCUCUGGUCUGUAACUGACGCUGAGGAGCGAAAGCGUGGGGAGCGAACAGGAUUAGAGACCCCGGUAGUCCCUGUCUCUUAUAC
rnacentral:rRNA from 1 species